rnacentral:rRNA from 1 species
ACAAGCGGUGGAGCAUGUGGUUUAAUUGACGCAACGCGCAGAACCUUACCUGGGCUUGACAUCCCGAUCGCAUCCCAUGGAACAUGGGAGUUACUUCGGUACAUCGGUGACAGGUGGUGCAUGGUUGUCGUCAGCUCGUGUCGUGAGAUGUUGGGUUAAGUCCCGCAACGAGCGCAACCCCUAUUGUUAGUUGCCAUCAUUCAGUUGGGCACUCUAGCGAGACUGCCGGUAAUAAACCGGAGGAAGUGGGGAUGACGUCAAAUCAUCAUGCCCCUUAUGACCUGGGCUACACACGUGCUACAAUGGUUGGUACAACGAGUUGCGAGUCGGUGACGGCGAGCUAAUCUCUUAAAGCCAAUCUCAGUUCGGAUUGUAGGCUGCAACUCGCCUACAUGAAGUCGGAAUCGCUAGUAAUCGCGGAUCAGCACGCCGCGGUGAAUACGUUCCCGGGCCUU